GACGAACGCUGGCGGCGUGCUUAACACAUGCAAGUCGAACGGAAAGGCCCUGCUUUUGUGGGGUGCUCGAGUGGCGAACGGGUGAGUAACACGUGAGUAACCUGCCCUUGACUUUGGGAUAACUUCAGGAAACUGGGGCUAAUACCGGAUAGGAGCUCCUGCUGCAUGGUGGGGGUUGGAAAGUUUCGGCGGUUGGGGAUGGACUCGCGGCUUAUCAGCUUGUUGGUGGGGUAGUGGCUUACCAAGGCUUUGACGGGUAGCCGGCCUGAGAGGGUGACCGGCCAAAUUGGGACUGAGAUACGGCCCAGACCCCUACGGGAGGCAGCAGUGGGGAAUAUUGCACAAUGGGCGGAAGCCUGAUGCAGCAACGCCGCGUGCGGGAUGACGGCCUUCGGGUUGUAAACCGCUUUCGCCUGUGACGAAGCGUGAGUGACGGUAAUGGGUAAAGAAGCACCGGCUAACUACGUG
rnacentral:rRNA from 1 species